UACAGAGGGUGCAAGCGUUAAUCGGAAUUACUGGGCGUAAAGCGCGCGUAGGUGGAUAAGUAAGUUGGAUGUGAAAGCCCCGGGCUUAACCUGGGAACGGCAUUCAAAACUGCUUUUCUAGAGUAUGGUAGAGGAGAGUGGAAUUUCCGGUGUAGCGGUGAAUGACGUAGAUAUCAGGAGGAACACCUAUUGCGAAGGCAGCUCGCUGGGGACGUAACUGACGCUGAGAACGCGAAAGCGUGGGGAGCAAACAGG
rnacentral:rRNA from 1 species